UCUGCAAUAUUCACAAACCAAAAAUAUUCAGACCAAACUUCAGAUCAUAUAAAAACUUGGGAACACUGCUAGAUGAACUGUUCUUUCUGUAGUAAAAUGAAACCUUCCCAAAGCACAGUGGCACAGGGUCAACUACCAUGUUUACUUAAAAGCAUGGGUUCACUUCACAUUUGCCUUCCGUUCGAAAGGAAAGAUAGCAUAUAGGUAUGUGGCGCACAAUGGCCAUGCCAACAUUACAGCAAUAAAGCCUCAUUUAGGGAACAUACCUUAUCAUUUUCAAUCAUAAUGAUGAAGACAGGUCCAUCCUGGCAGCAGUGAGGCUUAUAAGAAAAUGGGCAAUCAUCCGAAUGAGUAGGAAAUGUGCAGGGUGGCCUGAUGGAAUCGGCAGAGCCAAUUGACGAUUGGUCCUUGCUCAUUGUUUCACAGUGCCAAGUCACAACCCAU
rnacentral:lncRNA from 1 species